CUCUCUCUUGUCUCUUGGACAUCUGUUUGGGGCAGAUGUGGCUUUUUUUUCAUAAUGUAGGUGAGGUUGUGUCUAGGCCUCUCUAUGGCCUGGACAUGUGUCUCUUAUCCUGUAUUUUCUUUAAUCCUUAAUCUUCAAUAAACCUCUAAAAAAUAUAAUACUCCUUACAGAGAGAAACUAAUUUCUACCUGCCUCAGUCUCCCAUAUAUUCCCUAAAUUUUAAUCUUUACAAUAUGAUAUUCCAGAAAGCAAGGGAACUAGGUCUACAACCAAGAAUAAAAUACCCAUCAAAACUGACUAUAUUCUUACAAGGGAAAGUAUGGUCAUUCAACACAACAAAAGAGUUCCAAGCAUUCAUAAAUAAAAGACCAGACCUGAACAGAAAAUUUGAUGUCUGUCCAACCACAGAACUCAAGAGAAUCAUCAAAAGGUAUUGCAGAAAGUAUAUCUCCCCUCUUCUGAUCGUAGAAUGUCCUAAGGUACUGUAAUUGAUGAUAAAAAAUGGAUCUGCAGAAAAAGCAAGAAGCUUAAAACUCUUGGAACGCCAAUUAUCAGAGGAGGGGAGAAGGAGGAGAGACUGUUCCAAUGGAAUCUUGAAGGGAGCAGUUAGGAAAGUCCAGCUGCUUCACUUCCUUCUCUGGCUGUUGGAUGAGAAGGUGGAAGACAAACUCUCUCUUUGGUUAUUGCUUAUCCAUAAGACUGAGUGCUGAGAAGACUCUUGGGGUUAGCCCAGAAGAAACCUGUCAGCAUUGCUGUCAAUAUCUCCCCUUAGGGAAAGAUAACUUCGUUUCCUGAAUUUGAAUACAUCUUGAAGUCUUCAAUCAACAGGGAUAACUUAGAAAAUUUAGGGAAACCUAUUUUCCUCUCACCCCCUCCCUCUUCUUACCUCCUCUAUCCAAAAGAAUAAAAGACCUCUUAGUUAAAAGAUUUGUUUGUGA
rnacentral:lncRNA from 1 species